GGCGAACGGGUGAGGAACACGUGAGAAAUCUGCCUUCAACUCUGGGAUAACUCCGUGAAAACGGGGCUAAUACCGGAUAUGAAACCUGCGGGCAUCCGCGGGUUUGGAAAGUUUUUCGGUUGAAGAUGAUCUCGCGGCCUAUCAGCUUGUUGGUGAGGUAAUGGCCCACCAAGGCGACGACGGGUAGCCGGCCUGAGAGGGCGACCGGCCACACUGGGACUGAGACACGGCCCAGACUCCUACGGGAGGCAGCAGUGGGGAAUAUUGGGCAAUGGAGGAAACUCUGACCCAGCGACGCCGCGUGCGGGAUGAAGGCCUUCGGGUUGUAAACCGCUUUCAGCAGGGAAGAAGCGAAAGUGACGGUACCUGCAGAAGAAGCACCGGCUAACUAUGUGCCAGCAGCCGCGGUAAUACAUAGGGUGCAAGCGUUGUCCGGAAUUAUUGGGCGUAAAGAGCUCGUAGGUGGUUCGUCACGUCGGAUGUGAAACUCUGGGGCUUAACCCCAGACCUGCAUUCGAUACGGGCGAGCUUGAGUAUGGUAGGGGAGUCUGGAAUUCCUGGUGUGGCGGUGGAAUGCGCAGAUAUCAGGAGGAACACCAAUGGCGAAGGCAGGACUCUGGGCCAUUACUGACACUGAGGAGCGAAAGCGUGGGGAGCGAACAGGAUUAGAUACCCUGGUAGUCCACGCCGU
rnacentral:rRNA from 1 species